rnacentral:rRNA from 1 species
AUGGACGAAAGUCUGACGGAGCAACGCCGCGUGAGUGAAGAAGGUUUUCGGAUCGUAAAACUCUGUUUUCAGGGACGAAUGUGCAAUAUGUGAAUAAUGUGUUGUAAUGACGGUACCUGACAAGAAAGCCACGGCUAACUACGUGCCAGCAGCCGCGGUAAUACGUAGGUGGCAAGCGUUGUCCGGAAUUAUUGGGCGUAAAGCGCGCGCAGGUGGGAUAAUAAGUCUGAUGUUAAAGUUCGGGGCUCAACCCCGUGAAGCAUUGGAAACUAUUAUUCUUGAGUGCAGGAGAGGAAAGUGGAAUUCCUAGUGUAGCGGUGAAAUGCGUAGAUAUUAGGAGGAACACCAGUGGCGAAGGCGACUUUCUGGACUGUGUCUGACACUGAGGCGCGAAAGCCAGGGUAGUGAACGGGAUUAGAUACCCCGGUAAUCCUGGCCGUAAACGAUGGGUACUAGGUGUUGGGGGUAUCGACCCCUCCAGUGCCGGAGUUAACGCAAUAAGUACCCCGCCUGGGGAGUACG